rnacentral:rRNA from 1 species
UGCGGGGCGGUGCUAUACAUGCAAGUCGAGCGAACGGACGAGAAGCUUGCUUCUCUGAUGUUAGCGGCGGACGGGUGAGUAACACGUGGAUAACCUACCUAUAAGACUGGGAUAACUUCGGGAAACCGGAGCUAAUACCGGAUAAUAUUUUGAACCGCAUGGUUCAAAAGUGAAAGACGGUCUUGCUGUCACUUAUAGAUGGAUCCGCGCUGCAUUAGCUAGUUGGUAAGGUAACGGCUUACCAAGGCAACGAUGCAUAGCCGACCUGAGAGGGUGAUCGGCCACACUGGAACUGAGACACGGUCCAGACUCCUACGGGAGGCAGCAGUAGGGAAUCUUCCGCAAUGGGCGAAAGCCUGACGGAGCAACGCCGCGUGAGUGAUGAAGGUCUUCGGAUCGUAAAACUCUGUUAUUAGGGAAGAACAUAUGUGUAAGUAACUGUGCACAUCUUGACGGUACCUAAUCAGAAAGCCACGGCUAACUACGUGCCAGCAGCCGCGGUAAUACGUAGGUGGCAAGCGUUAUCCGGAAAUAUUGGGCGUAAAGCGCGCGUAGGCGGUUUUUUAAGUCUGAUGUGAAAGCCCACGGCUCAACCGUGGAGGGUCAUUGGAAACUGGAAAACUUGAGUGCAGAAGAGGAAAGUGGAAUUUCCAUGUGUAGCGGUGAAAUGCGCAGAGAUAUGGAGGAACACCAGUGGCGAAGGCGACUUUCUGGUCUGUAACUGACGCUGAUGUGCGAAAGCGUGGGGAUCAAACAGGAUUAGAUACCCUGGUAGUCCACGCCGUAAACGAUGAGUGCUAAGUGUUAGGGGGUUUCCGCCCCUUAGUGCUGCAGCUAACGCAUUAAGCACUCCGCCUGGGGAGUACGACCGCAAGGUUGAAACUCAAAGGAAUUGACGGGGACCCGCACAAGCGGUGGAGCAUGUGGUUUAAUUCGAAGCAACGCGAAGAACCUUACCAAAUCUUGACAUCCUUUGACAACUCUAGAGAUAGAGCCUUCCCCUUCGGGGGACAAAGUGACAGGUGGUGCAUGGUUGUCGUCAGCUCGUGUCGUGAGAUGUUGGGUUAAGUCCCGCAACGAGCGCAACCCUUAAGCUUAGUUGCCAUCAUUAAGUUGGGCACUCUAAGUUGACUGCCGGUGACAAACCGGAGGAAGGUGGGGAUGACGUCAAAUCAUCAUGCCCCUUAUGAUUUGGGCUACACACGUGCUACAAUGGACAAUACAAAGGGCAGCGAAACCGCGAGGUCAAGCAAAUCCCAUAAAGUUGUUCUCAGUUCGGAUUGUAGUCUGCAACUCGACUACAUGAAGCUGGAAUCGCUAGUAAUCGUAGAUCAGCAUGCUACGGUGAAUACGUUCCCGGGUCUUGUACACACCGCCCGUCACACCACGAGAGUUUGUAACACCCGAAGCCGGUGGAGUAACCUUUUAGGAGCUAGCCGUCGAAAGGGG